UACGUAGGGGGCAAGCGUUGUCCGGAUUUACUGGGCGUAAAGCGCGUGUAGGCGGGCGGGAAAGUCCGGUGUGAAAGCCCCCAGCUCAACUGGGGAAGGUCGCUGGAAACUGCGCGUCUUGAGGGCGGCAGAGGGAAGUGGAAUUGCUGGUGUAGCGGUGAAAUGCGUAGAGAUCAGCAGGAACACCCGUGGCGAAGGCGGCUUCCUGGGCCGCGCCUGACGCUGAGACGCGAAAGCGUGGGGAGCGAACGGG
rnacentral:rRNA from 1 species